AAGAAAGAGUAUGUGCAUGCAUGUACUGUUUUUUUUCCUAUUAGUAUACAGCGGCGGAAUCAGAAGUUUUUUUAUAGGGGGGUCAAAAUAUAUCACUAAAUUUUUUUUAUUUAUUGACGCUUGAAGUGUUUCUUUCGGUUGUACGACUAAGAGGAGGCAACUGUAUCAUGCGAGUCUGCAUAGUUUGAAAAUGUUUCAAAAUUUGCUCGCUAUCAAUUGUUGGAAAAAUAUAAUAAUUCAAUGUGUAAAAAUUGUGGGAAUAUAGAAAUGAGCAUAUUUGAUUGAAUCUCUUCAUAAAGAUUUCUUGAUU
rnacentral:lncRNA from 1 species